GCGCGAGCCAAUGGGCGCGCAGCACAACACGCGUGCUGCCCUCCACAUGGGCGCCCCGCGCCGCCGCGCGCCUUAAAGGGGCCGCGCCCGCCGCGCCCGCCCCGCGCACGUGCGGGCCCCGCACCCGCCGCGCCCGCCCCGCGCGCCCCCGGCCGGGACGAAUAACGGCGCCGCGUUAAACGCCCGUCCUUGCGGAGCCGCCCGUGCGGGAGCUGUGCCCCCCCGGCACCGCGCUCGGAUCCCCGCGGGAGGGGCUCGGCCCGGCUCUGCCCCCGCAGGGCUCCCGAGUUCUGUCCCGUUCCUGCAGAACCGUCCCGAGCCGCCCCGAGUCACAGGCUGUGGCUGCGUGUGACUGGGAGCUCCGGCGUGUCCUGUGCCGCACCUGGUGGGCGGCUGCACGGGAGGGAACGGCCAAGCCCUUUCUGUGGAUAAAGGCGAGGAAAGAAGGGAGCACGUUGGGAAAGGUCAGCGCGCUCCUUUGGAAACACCUUCCAGUGCAGCACUUAUGCGUAACUUGAGCAACGUUUUCCUUUGUAGAGCCCCUUUGUCAUUAGCGUGCAAAACUAAAUUGAACUUCAAUUAUCCACACAGAAAUUUUCCAUUCCAAGUAUCUGUCUCUGAUUGACUUCAAGACACUGAAGUAAAGGUUAAGAAACUGAUUAGAAAAAACAAUUCUUCUCGUGGAAGGAAUGGGAUUGAAAAAAACCCAAUUUUCACAUGAGAAUUUUUACUCUACUUAAAAACAUUAAGGAAUUCACAACCCAAAAACUACCCUGAGGAAUGGCCUUGGAAGGUGACAAACCCAAACCCUCAUGAGCUGGGCCGUACUGGGCUUGUGGAGCUUGGGGCUGACUCUAAAGUGCUCCUGUUCCCCAGUCAGGGUGAUAUCUUGUCCUUGCUCAGCGUGUGGCUGGUGGCCUCACGUACUGCACGCUCAUCAGAUCCUCCUCUGCACAUGGAAGGAGUCAUUUCCUCCUGGGCUUUGCCAUGAACUCAUUCCUGUGUUAUCUGAAUUCCUCACCACAUAAUGAGGGUAUCAUCACCAUGCAUGAGCAGGAGAGGUAGAUAAGAUGUAGAUGUGGAUAAAGCCUGGCCACAGUAACUCACCUGGCACCUUCAGGCAGGAGUAGCUCAUGGAGGGACGAGCUUCAUUUCUCACGGAAUUUCUCAGCUGCUUUCCACUCAUCCAUCUUCUCUGCAAACCACCUCACUCAUUCCUGCAAUGAAUGAAGAAGUUUUAGCAGCAGGAAUGGCUUCCAUCAGCCAGCCUGGUUCCCCAGAGCACUGCCCGGGCUGUGUGCUGAGCUCAGCCCGUGGAACAGCACCGUGGGCACCGUGAAUCACACAAUGCACGUGGCCUUAGGGAGCUCAGACAGAGCUCUUUGGGGCAGACCAAACCUGACAUCUCACAAGUUCUUCCCUUUGUAACCUGGAUGUGUUCAGGUAUAAUUUGCAUGUGUUGUGUGUGCGUGUAUAUGUUACAUCCAAAAAUCAUGCUGAUCCCAGCAGAGGAGGCAAGGAUGGCUCAGCACCUGGCAAACACAGCUGGAGAGCAGCAGCAGAGCCCCUGUGCUGGCUGGGCUGUGCCUGCUGCAGGGCUGUCACUCUGCAGGGCUUACACUGGGCAGCUGGCACUUCAAAAGGCAGGACAUCCCCACAACAAGGUGAUGUGAUGCGUGGCUGGGGGAGAUCACCUUCCAGCCAGGUACAGUGACAUUUGCAGUGCUUAUCUGAUCACAGAACCACAGAAUAUCCUGAGCUGGAAGGGACUCACAAGGGUCAUGGAGUCCAUACCUUAGCCCUGCAGUGCCUGGGAGUAUCAUCCAAAUGCUUCUUGAACUCUGUCAGUGCUGUGACCACUGCCCUGGGGAGCCUGUUCGUUCCUUCUCCAACCACCUCUCUCUGUGUGUAAUCCUACAAACCACUUGGGCUUACUGUGCUCUCCAGACGGACUGACUGAAGGAGGAAUUGCUAUUCUGUCAUCAAACCUGCUGUACAAACUGCACUGCUUACCACGGGACCUGCCCAGGACAUUACAGCCCAGCAGAGACCUCCUGGCUCUGUGCCCCUGCAGGGACCAGAGACUCUCGGGUUUUAGUGGGUGAGACAAAACAACAGAAAGAAAAAAGGAGUCACUGGAGGAGUAUAUGGGCCAUACAAGAGGCAGUGCUCUAAUGGAGGGUACUUGAUCAAACACAGCUUUUGAAAGAAACGUUUUCAGACAAGAUUUGAAAGGAGAUGAAAAUUGCCAUUUGAGGAUGAUCCUGUCUUACAACGCCCCAAGGAUCACCUAAUAUCCUACACAUAUCCUAUAACAGGGAUGUGAUGGAUGUUUAAGCAAAACCCACUUCAGCUGUGCAGAUGUGGAAGAAUAACUGCAGUAGUGCUGGAGACCUGACAAUCCCUUCCUGCUCUCCUCUUGUUUCCUUUCUGGCUGUGCAGCAAACAGCUCCUCCGUGCUCCAACCAUCCUCGGGGUUUCUGCGGCCCUCGGCCGGCAGUGGGUUCAGCUGUCUGGCAAUAUUCAUCUCUGUGACUUUCCCCAGCUCAGAAAUGACUCUCAUUCAUUUCCUGACUUUGGGUCACAAAGUCCCUGUGAACCAGGGAUCCCCACCAGCGCUGGGGGACUGAGCUCUGUGUUCUGUACCCCGGAUCAGAAACUCCCAGUAUCCGUCUGCCCCAGUUGGGAUCCACGACUCGGCUUCCAGCACAUGGGAAUUUUGCACUUCCCCUACUCUGAAUAAACAACUUUUCACUUCAGGCCACUGAAUAAUCCAUCUGGAGUCACUGGAAUACGUGACUGCCUAAAUUUGUAUCUCCUGCUUAAAUGCUUUGUUGCUCAGGGCCUAAAUUAUGACUGAAUGUAAAUGAUUAAAUGAGUGUUAAUUUUCCCUUUUCAAGCUUCACACCAAAUAAGAAAUCCCCCCAACUGUGCUAACAUGAAAGCGGGAGUUUAUCUCAAUAUUUUCAUUUUGAAAUUCAAGUACUGAAUGCAGAAAAACCCACAAGGGUGAAAAUAAUUAGUGCUGUUUCCUACUGAACUAUUCUGACUUUCUCUGUAAUCCUUUUAUUUAGGGUUUUAAUGAUGAAGAAAUUCUUAUUGUAAAUAUUUAAUCAUGGAGAGUGGUUAAGCAGGACGUGUGUGAUGAAUGGGUCCCACAGAUCUGCUGAUAUGGCUGAAAACUCCCGUUUCUCUGCAGCAGCACCUGACACCCACCCUCGGGGAUGCUGACACUAGAAUCACAAGGCCUCUAACUCUCCAGGUUCCUCCUGGUUUUACCCACUAAUCCCUGGACUGGUCCAGUAACUUCAGCAUGACAUUAGGACAGUUUUUACUAUGCCAAUAAUUCAUAAUUCAUUCUAUUUCUACUAGGAGGGCACAUGCUGCUACAGACGAGCCUUAGAGAGAUGGGCCCAGGGAAGGUGACUGAAGAGCUCCCCUGGGAUUCCCAAACGCUUGUUGGGCUCCUGGGGCUCACACCUCGGGCUGGCUUUUCAGGGCACGCUGCAGAAUCCUGUGGUCUUCACAUGUGCAACCCAAGCAUGUGCUCAGGUCCGGGCUGAGUUCUGGAUGUGGCCCACGUGGAAGUGCCAGGCGGUAUCAGCCGUGCUGCUCUCUCAGCAGGUAAGAACCUGCCCCUGUGUUGUUUGCAGCGGUGCAGGGAACCUCCUGCCACGGGAAUGGACUGCAGUCAGCUGCAGAAUGUCCUGCUGGAACUGCUGAGGAACGGGGGAGGGAAAGGUCCAUCCAAAGUCCAUAGGCUGCGUGCUGAGGUCUCCCAGGUUUGGAGCAAUGGCUGACCCAGACAUGAACACUGAACACAUCAUCCCAGCCCGCUGCAAAUGAUGGUCUGUGAAAAAAUAUCUGCUCGGAACGAGAGAAUUUAAUCCACAAAAUACGCAGAGAAACCCGAGUCUUGUCCGCGGAGAACUGGAUUGGCCUCUGCGUGGCUUCGAGUCACCCUUUACCUGCACUAAAACCCGUGCCAAGUGAUGAACCCGGGACACGACAGCUGCCGAGCGCUUCGAUCCGAGCGGGCUCUGCUGCGCAGGCGAACCCUCGGGAUCGCUCUGUUCCCCCGCCCGCGGGUCGGGGUCCGGGGUCGGUGUUUGGGGUCGGUAUCUGGGGUCUGUGUCCGGGGUCGGUGUCCGGGAUCGGUGUCCGGGGUCGGUGUCCGGGGUCUGUGUCCGGGGUCGGUGUCCGGGGGCGCCGCUCGCCCCGAGCCCCGGGGCCGCCGAGCCCGGCAGGUCCGGCAGCCGCCGGCAGAGGGGGCUCCGCGCCGCCGCAUCCCGGCCCCGAUCCCGCAGCGAUCCCGCAGCGAUCCCGCCGCAUCCCGGCCCCGAUCCCGCAGCGAUCCCGCAGCACUCCCGGCCCCGAUCCCGCAGCGAUGCCCCCGCGAUCCCGCAGCAGCGGCACAGCUGGAGUGCGCAAACCGCGUGGGGUGUUUGCGGAGCUUCCCAAAACGCCGGUAUUAAACUCGCAGCCCAGCGAGCCGGCGAUAAUUAGCUGCAACAGCUAAUGAGCAAUGGCAAUGAGCGUCAUGAAAGAAAGGGGUUCUGCUGUUUCUGUUUCAAAGAACAAUAUCAUUUCAAUCCAGCAAACAUUUCUAGAUGGAUCCUCCAGCCCGGCGAUCACUUUUGGUGCUGUCCUGACCUUCCUGCAGCAAUUCCUGCAGGGUUUGAUGGGAUAUUUGGAAGAAAUUCUUCCCUCUAAGGAUGGUGAGGCCCUGGCACAGGUUGUCCACAGAAGCUGUGGCUGCCUGGGAGUGUCCAAGACCAGGUUGGACAGAGUUUGGAGCAACCUGGGAUAGUGGAAGGUGUCUUUGCCCAUGGCAGAGGGUGGAACUGGAUGAGCUUUGAGGUCCCUCCCAGCCCAAACCCAUCUCUGGAGGGAGAGCAGUUUCUGUCUCAUGCAGCAUUUGCGAGAUCUGUACACAUCACACCAGUCCUUGUCUUUAAUGCAGCCCCACUAAGAGCUGUGCAAGUCUGCAACUAAAAUAAAACCAACCCAACCAAAACAGAACACGCUGGAGAAACAGCCAAGUUAAGGAUGUGAGAGUUUGGAUGGGUGAACCUCAUCCACCUGGACCAUGGAGAGGGAUGUGCAAUGUAAAACAGGCCUGGAUUUUCUAAGCUAGGCACCCACACCCAGAGCUGGUGCUGCUGCUGGACAGGAUGCCCCGUGGUUCCCCUCGGUGAAGAGGCUGACCUCGCUCGAGGCCCUGUGCUGCAGAGCUGUGGCCUCAGCCUGGCCCUGCCAUCCCUGCCCAGGAUCCCUGUCUCCAUCUCUGUGCACCCAAGGGCAAGCAGGGCUGCUGGGGGCAGGGUGCAAAGCACCACGAGCAGCCAUCCAUCCCCAGCCCUGAGCAAUCCCUGUCAAAAACCCCACUGCAAACAGCCUCAGCCAUGGGGUCAAUACCUGACUGUGGGAGGAGAAUGCACUGCCUUGAUGAAGGCACGGAGCAGUUUGGUACCAGCAUGGUGUGAUUCCAGUUCCUGAGGGGUUUCAUACAGAGGAUCAACCAUUUGAUGGAUGGAGGCUGGUGUAUUUAGGGGAGAUUAUUACAGGGCUAUUAUAAUUACAGUGGCAUUUGGACUUGUCUGGAGCAGUGUUCCUCAGCUGUCAGGCUGCUCUCUGGGGUAGCUGCGACCUCUGAGGAACUGGGCUAUAGAAAAUGGGAGAAAAAUAUUUGCUGCUCCCUGCAAGUUCAUUCAAAUUGAGGACUCAGCAAAAGAACACUUAAUAGAUGUUUCUUGCCUUUGAUGAGUUAACGAAAGCUGACCCAGCUCAAGAGGAAAAUUGACGCAUUCCACUCUGUUUGCUACAGUCAGUAAAGAUGCAGAAUAUUAAAAAUAAAAUGAAGUUGUUAGAGAAAUUACAAACCUAUCAUCAACAUCUGAACAAGUCUUAAAUUCACACAAGAGUGUAUUAAGCUCUUCAGAGGUGGAGUGCAAACACCAGCUAAAUAACUUCUGUGCCAACAUGCUCUUUUAUUUUUAAAUGUAUUCUACAAUACACAUGUGUGACAAUAGGUGUUUGGAUGGCACAAGCCAAUUCAAUUUGACAAAAGUUCUGAAAAAGAGUUUUAUUUAGAUUUAUGAUAAACAGCUGCAUGGUUCAUAAAAAGACAAUUUUCCCUUUCUUUCUCUGUGUACUCAUGCUUGUAUCGAACAUUUCAAUAUCAUAAUAUAUGGCCAUAUUAAAAUGGAAGGAUAGCAAAAGCUGGUUUUAAGGAACAGCAGCUCUACAAUAAAGCUUUGUGCUUACAGUGGGAUAGCACUACUGGACACUAUAAAAUAAAACCUCAAUAACAAAACAA